rnacentral:rRNA from 1 species
CACGUAGGGGGCAAGCGUUGUCCGGAUUCAUUGGGCGUAAAGAGCUCGUAGGCGGUUCGAUAAGUCGGGUGUGAAACCUCCAGGCUCAACCUGGAGACGCCACCCGAUACUGUCGUGACUAGAGUCCAGUAGGGGAGCGUGGAAUUCCUGGUGUAGCGGUGAAAUGCGCAGAUAUCAGGAAGAACACCAAUGGCGAAAGCAGCUCUCUGGGACGGUACUGACGCUGAGACGCGAAAGCGUGGGGAGCGAACAGG